rnacentral:rRNA from 1 species
UAGGGAAUCUUCGGCAAUGGGGGCAACCCUGACCGAGCAACGCCGCGUGAGUGAAGAAGGUUUUCGGAUCGUAAAGCUCUGUUGUAAGAGAAGAACGUGUGUGAGAGUGGAAAGUUCACACAGUGACGGUAACUUACCAGAAAGGGACGGCUAACUACGUGCCAGCAGCCGCGGUAAUACGUAGGUCCCGAGCGUUGUCCGGAUUUAUUGGGCGUAAAGCGAGCGAAGGCGGUUUAAUAAGUCUGAAGUUAAAGGCAGUGGCUUAACCAUUGUUCGCUUUGGAAACUGUUAAACUUGAGUGCAGAAGGGGAGAGUGGAAUUCCAUGUGUAGCGGUGAAAUGCGUAGAGAUAUGGAGGAACACCGGUGGCGAAAGCGGCUCUCUGGUCUGUAACUGACGCUGAGGCUCGAAAGCGUGGGGAGCAAACAGG